CUUCUCUACUCCUCUCUGACAUGAACUUUGGGAACAGAUUUUAUAUUUUGGCUAUAUGUAUUGCUCAUUAGUGUUCCAGAGCCAUGACUUAUUCCCUCUCAGGACCACAGAUUUUAUUUGGAUGUUGUCUAAGAGAGUAGCUUUACACUUGGACCACCACCUUCACUGGGACCUAACCUUCACCUGCAGUCAGCACUGCUCAUAAAACACCUUUUGCAUCUUUUGAGUCUCACUGCUGAGGAAAGUUCCCUGUUGUCAGUGUGGAGACCAGGAGAGGUAAAAGGUAAGAGGUGUCUCUCUUUUUUUUUGUAUUGCUCACUUGUUCCUAACAACUCCUCCAAGCAAUACUUCUA
rnacentral:lncRNA from 1 species